UGGGGAAUAUUGCACAAUGGGCGCAAGCCUGAUGCAGCCAUGCCGCGUGUAUGAAGAAGGCCUUCGGGUUGUAAAGUACUUUCAGCGGGGAGGAAGGGAGUAAAGUUAAUACCUUUGCUCAUUGACGUUACCCGCAGAAGAAGCACCGGCUAACUCCGUGCCAGCAGCCGCGGUAAUACGGAGGGUGCAAGCGUUAAUCGGAAUUACUGGGCGUAAAGCGCACGCAGGCGGUUGAUUGAGUCAGAUGUGAAAUCCCCGGGCUUAACCCGGGAAUUGCAUCUGAUACUGGUCAGCUAGAGUCUUGUAGAAGUGGGUAGAAUUCCAUGUGUAGCGGUGAAAUGCGUAGAGAUGUGGAGGAAUACCGGUGGCGAAGGCGGCCCCCUGGACAAAGACUGACGCUCAGGUGCGAAAGCGUGGGGAGCAAACAGG
rnacentral:rRNA from 1 species